UAAAGAAAGCGUAAUAGCUCACUGGUCGAGUCGGCCUGCGCGGAAGAUGUAACGGGGCUAAACCAUGCACCGAAGCUGCGGCAGCGACGCUGAUGCGUUGUUGGGUAGGGGAGCGUUCUGUAAGCCUGCGAAGGUGUGCUGUGAGGCAUGCUGGAGGUAUCAGAAGUGCGAAUGCUGACAUAAGUAACGAUAAAGCGGGUGAAAAGCCCGCUCGCCGGAAGACCAAGGGUUCCUGUCCAACGUUAAUCGGGGCAG
rnacentral:rRNA from 1 species